AUGAAGUUGGAGUUGCUAGUAAUCGCGAAUCAGCAUGUCGCGGUGAAUACGUUCCCGGGUCUUGUACACACCGCCCGUCCCACCAUGAGAGCCGGUAACACCCGAAGCCCGUGAGGUAACCGUAAGGAGCCAGCGGUCGAAGGUGGGAUUGGUGAUUGGGGUGAAGUCGUAACAAGGUAGCCGUAGGAGAACCUGCGGCUGGAUCACCUCCUUUCUAGGGAGA
rnacentral:rRNA from 1 species